rnacentral:sRNA from 1 species
AUGCUUCGAUCGAUCUGCAGCUCCCAAAUCCUCCAAGAGACAAACGCAGUCAAACUAAUGGGACAAGAAGUCCCAAGGGAACGGAGGUAAGACUCAAGCAUUUCCACUUGGCACCCACAACAGUGGCUAAUCUGGGUCCCCUUCUGUUUCUCGAGAGCUCGAACUCCUUCGCCCACCUCUCUCUCAGCCAUCUCCAUACCUCCCUUGGCGCAUUCUUCACCUGGGUUAUGAAAUACUAGGCAUCUUCGCUCGCGCGAACAACAAUGACUUCCGCAACAAAACGGCAGAGCCAAGAGAGCGCAUACGAGAGAUCGCUGAGCACCAUCUCCGACUCCCUCGCCUCCUCUCGCUCGUCUCAUCGUUCCAUCCGUCAAGCGGCUUCUGCCGCUACUCCUGCUCCCAACGAGGAUACCCCGAUCGCCACAUCCAAUGGCCGAGGGACUGAGAGGAAUUACCGAUCAACUGAAUGUGUAGACCGUGAUGGUUGUGCUGGGGGAGAUUAUCAGCAACAUCCCGCGCAACAUCAACAGCCGCAACGGAAAGCAUCCAGCGACAGACAUGACCGUGGACUCGAUGGGCAAGGGUCAAACACUGGACAAUGGACGGGGGGCAUAUCACGCAAGUAUAAGCGGAUAGUGGAGAAAUACGGUAGUGUGGAGCUGGAGAAUAAGGGGAGCGUCGCAAGAGAUCAUUUAGCACUUG